rnacentral:rRNA from 1 species
GAUGAACGCUGGCGGCGUGCCUAAUACAUGCAAGUCGAGCGAACGGACGAGAAGCUUGCUUCUCUGAUGUUAGCGGCGGACGGGUGAGUAACACGUGGAUAACCUACCUGUAAGACUGGGAUAACUUCGGGAAACCGGAGCUAAUACCGGAUAAUAUUUUGAACCGCAUGGUUCAAAAGUGAAAGACGGUCUUGCUGUCACUUAUAGAUGGAUCCGCGCUGCAUUAGCUAGUUGGUAAGGUAACGGCUUACCAAGGCAACGAUGCAUAGCCGACCUGAGAGGGUGAUCGGCCACACUGGAACUGAGACACGGUCCAGACUACUACGGGAGGCAGCAGUAGGGAAUCUUCCGCAAUGGGCGAAAGCCUGACGGAGCAACGCCGCGUGAGUGAUGAAGGUCUUCGGAUCGUAAAACUCUGUUAUUAGGGAAGAACAUAUGUGUAAGUAACUGUGCACAUCUUGACGGUACCUAAUCAGAAAGCCACGGCUAACUACGUG